rnacentral:rRNA from 1 species
UACGUAGGGACCGAGCGUUGUCCGGAAUCAUUGGGCGUAAAGAGCGUGUAGGCGGCCAACUAAGUCCUGCGUGAAAUCUCGGGGCUCAACCCCGAGCGGUCGUGGGAAACUGGUUGGCUAGAGUGCGGGAGAGGAGAGUGGAAUUCCUGGUGUAGCGGUGAAAUGCGCAGAUAUCAGGAAGAACACCCGUGGCGAAGGCGGCUCUCUGGAACGGUACUGACGCUGAGACGCGAAAGCGUGGGGAGCGAACAGG